rnacentral:rRNA from 1 species
AGCAAACAGGAUUAGAUACCUGGUAGUCCACGCCGUAAACGAUGAGUGCUAAGUGUUAGGGGGUUCCGCCCCUUAGUGCUGCAGCUAACGCAUUAAGCACUCCGCUGGGGAGUACGACCGCAAGGUUGAAACUCAAAGGAAUUGACGGGGGCCCGCACAAGCGGUGGAGCAUGUGGUUUAAUUCGAAGCAACGCGAAGAACCUUACCAGGUCUUGACAUCCUUUGACAACUCUAGAGAUAGAGCUUUCCCUUCGGGGACAAAGUGACAGGUGGUGCAUGGUUGUCGUCAGCUCGUGUCGUGAGAUGUUGGGUUAAGUCCCGCAACGAGCGCAACCCUUAUUGUUAGUUGCCAUCAUUCAGUUGGGCACUCUAGCGAAACUGCCGGUGACAAACCGGAGGAAGGUGGGGAUGACGUCAAAUCAUCAUGCCCCUUAUGACCUGGGCUACACACGUGCUACAAUGGACAGUACAAUGAGCAGCGACACGGCGACGUGAAGCGAAUCUCAUAAAGCUGUUCUCAGUUCGGAUUGUAGGCUGCAACUCGCCUACAUGAAGCCGGAAUCGCUAGUAAUCGCGGAUCAGCACGCCGCGGUGAAUACGUUCCCGGGCCUUGUACACACCGCCCGUCACACCACGAAAGUUUGUAACACCCAAAGUCGGUGAGGUAACCUUCGGGAGCCAGCCGCCUAAGGUGGGAUAGAUGAUUGGGGUGAAGUCGUAACAAGGUAACCA